CGUGAUAUCCUCUGAUUGGUCGC
rnacentral:siRNA from 1 species